rnacentral:rRNA from 1 species
UACGUAGGGGGCAAGCGUUGUCCGGAAUCAUUGGGCGUAAAGAGCGUGUAGGCGGCUUGGUAAGUCCGCUGUGAAAGUCCAGGGCUCAACCCUGGAAUGCCGGUGGAAACUGUCAAGCUUGAGUCCGGAAGAGGCGAGUGGAAUUCCUGGUGUAGCGGUGAAAUGCGCAGAUAUCAGGAGGAACACCAUGGCGAAGGCAGCUCGCUGGGACGGUACUGACGCUGAGACGCGAAAGCGUGGGGAGCAAACAGG